GUUGGGUUCGAGUUAAGGUUUAUGGGGUUGGUUUGGGGUUAAAGGUUAUGGGUUAAGGUUAUGGGCUUGGGUUGGGGUUAAAGGUUAUGGGUUAGGGUUAGAGGUGAUGGGAUAGGGUUAUGGGGUUGGGUUGGGGUUAAAGGUUAUGGGUUAGGGUUAGAGGUGAUGGGAUAGGGUUAUGGGGUUGGGUUAGGGUUAAAGGUUAUGGGUUAGGGUUAUGGGGUUGGGUUUGGGUUAAGGGUUAUGGGGUUGGGGUUAAAGGUUAUGGGUUAGGGUUAAAGGUUAUGGGUUUGGUUUAUGGGUUACGGGGUUGCGUUGGGGUUAAAGGUGAAGGGUUAAAGAUAUGGGCUGGGUUAAAGGUUAAGGAUUAAAGGUUAAGGGUUACGAUUACGGGGCGGGGGUUAAAGGUCAAAGGUUAUGGGGCUAUGGGGUUGGGGUUAAAGGUUAUGGGUUUGGUUUAAAGGUUAUGGGGUUGGGUUGGGGUGAAAGAUGAAGGGUUAAAGAUAUGGGCUGGGUUAAAGGUUAAAGGUUAAGGGUUAGGGUUAUGGGGUGGGGGUUAAAGGUCAAAGGUUAUGGGGUUAUGGGGUUGGGGUCUGGAGGGGACGGAGCUCAAUGGGGCGGGGAAGAGGUGGGCGGGGCCACAGCGCCCUCCUAAAUGAAUUGCCAGGUUUUAACGAAUGCAUUAAUGAAUAAACGGGUUCACCCAGCUGUUGAGUCGUUAAUCGGUUACUAAUGAGGGGGCGGGGCUUCAAAAUGGGGCGGGGUUUGUGGGCUGGGAUGGGGGGGUGGGGUUGCAGCCCCCCCAUUUCCACCCCAAAUUCCACUUAAUGAGAGGGUUAAUUACUAAAGCCGAUCGUUACAGCGUCACAUUGUUAACAAGUAGGGGAAUUAAUUAAUAAAUCCAUUCAUUAGGGGAUGAGGAUACGGAGCUGGGAACCAAGACAGGACUCCCACACUGCAUUAAUUAACCACUUUGUUAACGAGGGGCUACUUAAUUAGGCCUGGACCCAAUUGUUAC
rnacentral:lncRNA from 1 species